rnacentral:sRNA from 1 species
GCUGGGCAUGGUGGCACAUGCCUGUAAUCCCAGUGGCCAGGGAGGCUGAGGCAGGAGGAUCAUGAGUUCAAAUACAGCUUCAGCAAUUUAGCAAGGCCCUAAGCAGCUUGACAAGACCCUGUCUUAA